rnacentral:rRNA from 1 species
AGCGGCGGACGGGUGAGUAACACGUGGGUAACCUGCCCAAGAGACUGGGAUAACACCUGGAAACAGAUGCUAAUACCGGAUAACAACACUAGACGCAUGUCUAGAGUUUGAAAGAUGGUUCUGCUACCACUCUUGGAUGGACCUGCGGUGCAUUAGCUAGUUGGUAAGGUAACGGCUUACCAAGGCAAUGAUGCAUAGCCGAGUUGAGAGACUGAUCGGCCACAUUGGGACUGAGACACGGCCCAAACUCCUACGGGAGGCAGCAGUAGGGAAUCUUCCACAAUGGACGAGAGUCUGAUGGAGCAACACCGCGUGAGUGAAGAAGGGUUUCGGCUCGUAAAGCUCUGUUGGUAGUGAAGAAAGAUAGAGGUAGUAACUGGCCUUUAUUUGACGGUAAUUACUUAGAAAGUCACGGCUAACUACGUGCCAGCAGCCGCGGUAAUACGUAGGUGGCAAGCGUUGUCCGGAUUUAUUGGGCGUAAAGCGAGUGCAGGCGGUUCAAUAAGUCUGAUGUGAAAGCCUUCGGCUCAACCGGAGAAUUGCAUCAGAAACUGUUGAACUUGAGUGCAGAAGAGGAGAGUGGAACUCCAUGUGUAGCGGUGGAAUGCGUAGAUAUAUGGAAGAACACCAGUGGCGAAGGCGGCUCUCUGGUCUGCAACUGACGCUGAGGCUCGAAAGCAUGGGUAGCGAACAGGAUUAGAUACCCUGGUAGUCCAUGCCGUAAACGAUGAGUGCUAAGUGU